GGUUAACCUAGAAUCAGAGUCAGAGUAGACUAUUUCAUAUUUUAAGGGGUUUUCUGAUCUACCUGUUGUUUUUGGACCCCGGGAGGAGAACGACUGAUGCAUCACAACAGCCUUGUGUUGUAGAGCUGGUUAGAAAAGCACCUUGGAAUAAAAGGAGCAGAAAACUGGAAACAGAAACAAGAGAAAUGGAGAAGUGCCAGCGAGCAGACAGCUGGGAAAAGCUGCAGGAGGAGAUGGCAAAGAGCAUCCAUGGUGAGCCCAGGGCCAAGGGGGAGCAGGAGGCUCUGGAGAGGCAGGAGAGAAGGAGAGGACCCAGGGGAAAUGGUGGGAGUGAAUCACCGAGGGCCUGAUGGAGGAAGGCACUGACGGCUCCUGCGAGAAGAGCGAUGAACAUGUAUCAGAAGAGAAAAUCAGCUGCUGCUUGGUGCCUUGUCCUUGUUCUCCCGUCUCAUUUGCUGAUGGCUGAUAACACCUUAUCUCCACCAGGGAAGCAACUGGGAAGUUUGCUCCUUCCUCACAAGACUGAGGGUAUAAUUAGAACCACGCACCUGCUCAGUCCUCCGGUGACUUGAGCCUGGAAUCUCCUACAUUAGAACACUUCACUGCUCCCAGAAGGCCCUGUAAGAUCCCAGGGAGGCAGCAGCCAACAGAGGAUAUUCACUAAAGACCAAGCAGCAGAGCAGCACUUUGGUAUUCCCUGAAGACAGAGAAAGGAGAGGAAAUGUCCACUAAGAAUAAGUCUCCCGUGAAAUGUUACAUGUACUCGGCAAACUCCUGAACCCACUGCUGCCACGGAAAACUCUCACUGAUGGGUAGCUCCGAGAACUCACCCUCCAAUUAUGUACCGCAGAGCUACGGAUGUGUUUUUAUUGAGGAGAAUAAAAACCACAAGAAGCGCUCUACAACAGACCACAAAAUGGGUUUGGCACCUGUGUCUGCCCGGAGCCGAAGUUUCGGAGUUGUGUUAUCACGUGGCCCGCUGACCCCAGGAGAGCAGGGCUGACCUUGUCUUACACACAGAAGUCUAUUGCUAUGACUCCCCUGAGAGCACAAACCAGCUGCAAACUGCUGCAAUGAUUAACCCUUAUGUGUUGUAGAUGUAACAUCGAGUCAUGGUAAUAAAGCUUUCACUGCAUAACGGAUCUCUUGCUUUGUAAAUUGUUGCUCUUAUCAGCUGCACUGGAGGAUGUUAUCCCUUUCCUGUGAAGCAUGACUGCUGUGUUGUUCACUGGAAAGGAGACCAGAUCUGUAGACUCGGUGAUAUUUAUUCAAUUGCUUUGAGAACAAUACAGAGAAUAAAUACACUUUGUUUAAGCUAAAAA